rnacentral:sRNA from 1 species
GAGAAAGUAUUAAAACAAUAUCCAAAAAGUUUAAAUAUCUUCCAAAUUCUUUGAGGCUUCAUCAGUAUCUUGUGCACCAUAAGUAUGUUAAAGGGCAGUUGGUUGGCAGUGACAUGUAUUCGUUAUACAAAAGUCCAUGAAGCACAGGACUAAACUUGAACAAUCUUUCUAGGAGACUGUCCAGUUGCUGGAAAACAAUACAUCACCAAGAGAAGAGGUUGUUUCGAUUGUAAAUCUCCACCGACCCCUUUGAUCGGUAAUCUUUGCUUGACAAUGUCUGCCGGUUUUCCCAUAAAGAAGCUGGGAUAUAUUGUCUUCUCGCCAGCAGUUAUUCAGCUUCCCAGCAGCGAGUUGAAUGCUGAAGAGGUUUAAUGGAAGGAAAACAGUAAAGGCAGUAGGAGACAACAAGAUCUUGAUACUAUUUGGCAGAGAUGGCUUUGGGGCGUAGGAGACACAAACACCCUUUUGAUCAUCGCUCAAGCUUCAAAUGUCUUCACUUCACAUCAACCAUUUCGUCCAUUCUCCUCACAAAGGCGCUCUUGGACCUAAGAUCACGGUCUUGUAUGGUAAACAGCCGAGGGUUUCGACCAAAAGUGAAGGCCUUUCUUUUCCAUGGUGCCCCACCCAGAUCGAACACCGACACUGUCAAAGCCAAAGCCAAAGCCACAUCAUUGGCUUGGUCAGUCAAGAUUGCCCUGUCAUACACAGCCAGGUAGUUUUUUAAUUUCCCCUGCUUCAAAUACAUGUGCUCAACCACUGCCUGCCACUGAAGCUCAGCCACUUCACGCAAGUCAUAAUCUGUCACAUAGUGCGUGAUAUUGUGUGAGCAGGGCACCUGCGGAUAUAUCAUCUUGGAGUUUGAGGAGUUGCCACCCGAGGCUUUCAAGUCCUUCAAAUACUUCUCAGCUAAGCAGGAGCAGGGCUCUCGCUCAAUUGGCCUCAAUGUCAGUUCUAUGAGCACAUUUGAAGGGGUCCACAAUCUCCUCCAUCAGCCACUGUUGGAUCUCGAGGCCUAGGUACAAUUUCAGGGGAAAAUCUUCCUUGCAAUGCUUUCACACACCAAAGUUGCGCGGUCCAUUGAGCCGCCCAUGGAAUGGAAAUAAUCGGUAGCAUCAGUUAUCUCCAACUGAAAGUGUUCUUGUAUGUUGGGAUCAUCAUUGUUCAAGCUAUUGAAGUGGUUCUCCAGCUUCCUCUCUUGAGUUCGAGAAGGCGAACGGCGCUGAGGGUCUCUGAGAAUAUUGUCUAAAUUGCUCAGGAGUUGUCAGUGGGAGGAGCUUGGAAGGGAGGGGGGUUGGGGUGGAUCCGGAGGAGUCAGUACGCUGCUGUGUAGAAGGCUGCUUCACCAUACAUGUCUUUGCAGCAGGAUUCGACUGUCUAGAAGGUUAAAGAUGAGCUUGAGCCUUGGAAGGUUGGUGAUGGUGGUGGUGGAGUGGGGUCGUUCGAGCACCAGGUUUGGUGGUGGUGUUGGGCUUGACGGGUUUUGUCGCCAUGCUUCCUUCACCGGAAUCUUAUUCUUCAGCGGUUUCUCUGCAGCCGGUGUCAUCAUUACGUUUGUAUAGAAUAGGGUUUCAUAUACAAGGUGCAACAAGUCCAGACAUUUUUUAUUUAUACUUUGUUGGAUUUGUAGCAUUUUAGUAUUAGCUUUCUAGUGUUUGAGUAAUUUUUCGGUAAUUUUCUUGUUGCGCUUUUUAAC